rnacentral:rRNA from 1 species
AUACGGAGGGUGCAAGCGUUAAUCGGAAUUACUGGGCGUAAAGCGCGCGUAGGCGGAUAAUUAAGUCAGAUGUGAAAUCCCCGGGCUCAACCUGGGAACUGCAUUUGAUACUGAUUAACUAGAGUAUGGUAGAGGUGAGUGGAAUUUCCGGUGUAGCGGUGAAAUGCGUAGAGAUCGGAAGGAACACCAGUGGCGAAGGCGACUCACUGGGCCAUUACUGACGCUGAGGUGCGAAAGCGUGGGUAGCAAACAGGAUUAGAAACCCUUGUAGUCC